GUGUACAGCCAUACUACCCUGAACGUGCCCGAUGAUCUCGUCUGAUCUCAGAAGCUAAGCAGGGUCGGGCCUGGUUAGUACUUAGUACUUGGACGGGAGACAAGUACAUACAAC
rfam:Heterocephalus glaber contig133267, whole genome shotgun sequence.